UACGUAGGGUGCGAGCGUUGUCCGGAAUUAUUGGGCGUAAAGAGCUCGUAGGCGGUUUGUCGCGUCUGCUGUGAAAACUGGGGGCUCAACCCCCAGCCUGCAGUGGGUACGGGCAGACUAGAGUGCGGUAGGGGAGAUUGGAAUUCCCGGUGUAGUGGUGAAAUGCGUAGAGAUCGGGAGGAACACCAGAGGCGAAAGCGGCAUCCUGGGCCGGGCCUGACGCUGAGGCGUGAAAGCGUGGGGAGCGAACCGG
rnacentral:rRNA from 1 species